AUCGCAGGCCGUUCUAUCGCUGCUCUAUGAAAAUAGGGGAGAGGAAAGUCCGGGCAACACAGAGCAUCCCACUUCCUAACUGGAAGGCUUCAUAGCAGUAUGAAUACAGAUAGUGCCACAGAGAAAUACAGCCCUACAGCAAUGUAAGGUGAUGGUGAAAACGUGAGGUAAGAGCUCACGGAAAUAAUUGGUGACAGUUAUUUCGGGUAAACCUUGGGAGUUGAAAGACCAAAUAAACCGAAGCGUGAGAGCUGCUCGCUCUAUUCGGAGGGUAGGUUGCUUGAGUUUUGCAGCGAUGCAAGAUCUAGAUAAAUGAUAGAACUCGACAGAACCCGGCUUAUAGGCCUGCUUUUUUU
rnacentral:RNase_P_RNA from 2 species